rnacentral:rRNA from 1 species
AUUGAACGCUGGCGGCAUGCCUUACACAUGCAAGUCGAACGGUAACAGGUCUUCUGAUGCUGACGAGUGGCGAACGGGUGCGUAAUACAUCGGAACGUGCCCAGACGUGGGGGAUAACGAGGCGAAAGCUUUGCUAAUACCGCAUACGAUCUAAGGAUGAAAGCAGGGGACCGCAAGGCCUUGUGCGUUUGGAGCGGCCGAUGGCAGAUUAGGUAGUUGGUGGGAUAAAAGCUUACCAAGCCGACGAUCUGUAGCUGGUCUGAGAGGACGACCAGCCACACUGGGACUGAGACACGGCCCAGACUCCUACGGGAGGCAGCAGUGGGGAAUUUUGGACAAUGGGCGAAAGCCUGAUCCAGCAAUGCCGCGUGCAGGAUGAAGGCCUUCGGGUUGUAAACUGCUUUUGUACGGAACGAAAAGGCUCUGGCUAAUACCUGGGGCACAUGACGGUACCGUAAGAAUAAGCACCGGCUAACUACGUG